rnacentral:lncRNA from 10 species
AGAAGUGGCUCCUGUACAGAUCUUGGUUUCCAUAGCUUUCAGAGCUUCUGUGGGCUUGGGGAUGAUCCCGUCGGCAGGCUUCUCACUUUAGCAGCUGCAGAAGGCCCUGAGACAGCCCCACAGUCCUUUGCCUCCAGGAAAGACCUCCCGCCACCAGGCUCUAGGAACAAUCCUAGACUUUCUACCUAAUUUGUACUAGCUUAUUCCAGAGUCGUAUAGCCUAACAGCUGGGAAGAGCCUCCUGAGUUUCUCCUGCUAAUAUACACUGUCAUUUGGUUUUAUAUGACUUUCAAGAGAAGAUGGCAAACAUCUGCUUACCUGUGUGUCUGUGUUACCUUGGAUUCACCCUCUCUUCCCUCAUCUAGGACGCGUGAUAAUGCUUUAAACACACACACACACACACACACACACACACAAACACACACACACACCCUCUGGAAUUAACCAGUGCCAACUGCUGCAGCAUUGCAGAGAAAAACACUCUGUAGUCACAAACUUAUCUUCCAGUGCAUAUCUCCAUUUAACUGGAGUCCAGUUAGUUGACUCUCUCUCAGACAUAGCCCAGACAGCAUAAUGAGGGCAUUUCCAUCUGUGGCCUAAUGAAUAUCGAGACUCCUAGGCUAGUUAUUUCCAGGUCUGCCACCAGCUCACUGAGUGACCUUUGACAAGGCCCUGGACCUGUUUUAGCACCUAUAAAGUGGGGUUAGCAAUUUUAUCCUAGUGAAGUGGGAGAGAUAAUGGCUGGGCUAGUGCUUUGAACCUGCAAAGAAAUCAUCAUGAACACCAUAAUUAUUUCCCCAGUUAUUGCAGCAGCAGUCUCUCUGUCUGCCUUGAAUGUCCAUCACGGAGAAGACCUCGCUGAUGGAUAGGGGAAAAUGUUAUUCUGUCUGGGUGGACAUUGGUCUAAUUAAUUACAAAGGGGUAGACUUCAUGAUAGGCAAAAGAGAAUCAAAGAGGCCGGGUGUGGUGGCUCAUGCUUGUAAUCCCAGC